GACGAACGCUGGCGGCGUGCCUAAUACAUGCAAGUCGAACGCAUUUUCUUUCACCGUAGCUUGCUACACCGAAAGAAAAUGAGUGGCGAACGGGUGAGUAACACGUGGGUAACCUGCCCAUCAGCGGGGGAUAACACUUGGAAACAGGUGCUAAUACCGCAUAAUUCCAUUUACUGCAUGGUAGAUGGAUGAAAGGCGCUUUUGCGUCACUGAUGGAUGGACCCGCGGUGCAUUAGCUAGUUGGUGGGGUAACGGCCUACCAAGGCUGCGAUGCAUAGCCGACCUGAGAGGGUGAUCGGCCACACUGGGACUGAGACACGGCCCAGACUCCUACGGGAGGCAGCAGUAGGGAAUCUUCGGCAAUGAACGCAAGUCUGACCGAGCAACGCCGCGUGAGUGAAGAAGGUUUUCGGAUCGUAAAACUCUGUUGUUAGAAAAGAACAAGGAUGAGAGUGGAAAGUUCAUCCCUUGACGGUAUCUAACCAGAAAGCCACGGCUAACUACGU
rnacentral:rRNA from 1 species